AGUCAAGUAAUUAAGUGCAUGUGGUGGAUGCCUUGGCAGUCAGAGGCGAUGAAAGACGUGAUAGCCUGCGAAAAGCUCCGGGGAGGCGGCAAAUAUCCUUUGAUCCGGAGAUGUCUGAAUGGGGGAACCCACCUACUUUAAGGUAGGUAUUGCAACAUGAAUACAUAGUGUUGCAAGGCGAACGAGGGGAAGUGAAACAUCUCAGUACCCUUAGGAAAAGAAAUCAAUUGAGAUUCCCUCAGUAGCGGCGAGCGAACGGGGAUCAGCCCAUUAAGUUAUGUGUGUUUUAGUGGAACGCUCUGGGAAGUGCGAACGUAGAGGGUGAUAUUCCCGUACACGAAAGGGCACACAUAAUGAUGACGAGUAGGGCGAGGCACGUGAAACCUUGUCUGAAUAUGGGGGGACCAUCCUCCAAGGCUAAAUACUCCUGACUGACCGAUAGUGAACCAGUACCGUGAGGGAAAGGCGAAAAGAACCCCUGUGAGGGGAGUGAAAUAGAUCCUGAAACCGCAUGCAUACAAGCAGUGGGAGCACCUUCGUGGUGUGACUGCGUACCUUUUGUAUAAUGGGUCAGCGACUUAUAUUCAGUAGCGAGGUUAACCGUAUAGGGGAGCCGUAGAGAAAUCGAGUCUUAAUAGGGCGUUUAGUUGCUGGGUAUAGACCCGAAACCAGGCGAUCUAUCCAUGAGCAGGUUGAAGGUUGGGUAACACUAACUGGAGGACCGAACCCACUGUCGUUGAAAAGCCAGGGGAUGACUUGUGGAUAGGGGUGAAAGGCUAAUCAAGCCUGGUGAUAGCUGGUUCUCCCCGAAAGCUAUUUAGGUAGCGCCUCGGACGAAUACCAUAGGGGGUAGAGCACUGUUUCGGCUAGGGGGUCAUCCCGACUUACCAAACCGAUGCAAACUCCGAAUACCUAUGAGUACUAUCCGGGAGACAGACUGCGGGUGCUAACGUCCGUAGUCAAGAGGAAAACAAUCCAGACCGCCAGCUAAGGCCCCAAAAUCAUAGUUAAGUGGGAAACGAUGUGGGAAGGCAUAGACAGCUAGGAGGUUGGCUUAGAAGCAGCCACCCUUUAAAGAAAGCGUAAUAGCUCACUAGUCGAGUCGGCCUGCGCGGAAGAUGUAACGGGGCUAAAACUAUGUGCCGAAGCUGCGGAUGUAUACUUUGUAUACGUGGUAGGGGAGCGUUCUGUAAGCCGAUGAAGGUGUGUUGAGAAGCAUGCUGGAGGUAUCAGAAGUGCGAAUGCUGACGUGAGUAACGACAAAACGGGUGAAAAACCCGUUCGCCGAAAGACCAAGGGUUCCAGUCCAACGUUAAUCGGGGCUGGGUGAGUCGACC
rnacentral:rRNA from 1 species